AUGGCCUGCGAUGUCGCCGCCGACGAGCCACCUACCAUCCCCACAGUACAGGAGCUUCACGCGCCCGACAAGCUACCCGUCAUCCCCAGCGUACAGGAGCUUCGUGCGCCCGACAAGCCCCACGCCGUCUGCACCGUACAGGAGCUCCGCGCGGGCGACGCGUCCUCCGCCAUCGGCAGGGCCCCCGAUCUCUGCGCCGAUGACGCGGGCCUCGCGGCACACAAGCGACUCUGGAGAUCGCUUAGUAAGCGGAGCGACCGAGGCGCCAUCGACAACAUCAUGGCGGGUCUUCGUGCCUCAGCAACGUCUUUUGCUCCUCCUCCACCGCCACCACCUCCUCCUCCCGAGCCGGAUUAG
rnacentral:rRNA from 1 species